rnacentral:rRNA from 1 species
AAUACAUGCAGUCGAGCGAAGUGGAGGAAGCUUGCUUCCAAAGCUUAGCGGCGGACGGGUGAGUAACACGUGGGCAAUCUGGCUGUAGGACAGGGAUAACCCCGGGAAACCGGAGCUAAUACCGGAUAGAGGUAAAGAUCGCAUGAGCUUUACCGGAAAGAUGGCGCAAGCUAUCACCUGCAGAUGAGCCCGCGGCGCAUUAGCCAGUUGGUGGGGUAACGGCUCACCAAGGCGACGAUGCGUAGCCGACCUGAGAGGGUGAUCGGCCACACUGGACUGAGACACGGCCCAGACUCCUACGGGAGGCAGCAGUAGGGAAUCUUCCGCAAUGGACGAAAGUCUGACGGAGCAACGCCGCGUGAGUGAUGAAGGUUUUCGGAUUGUAAAACUCUGUCAUUAGGGAAGAACGGCUGAUGUUUGAAUAAGGCAUCAGAGUGACGGUACCUAAAGAGGAAGCCCCGGCUAACUACGUGCCAGCAGCCGCGGUAAUACGUAGGGGGCAAGCGUUGUCCGGAAUUAUUGGGCGUAAAGCGCGCGCAGGCGGUUCUUUAAGUUUGAUGUGAAAGCCCACGGCUCAACCGUGGAGGGUCAUUGGAAACUGGAGGACUUGAGUGCAGGAGAGGAAAGUGGAAUUCCACGUGUAGCGGUGAAAUGCGUAGAGAUGUGGAGGAACACCAGUGGCGAAGGCGACUUUCUGGCCUGUAACUGACGCUGAGGCGCGAAAGCGUGGGGAGCAAACAGGAUUAGAUACCCUGGUAGUCCACGCCGUAAACGAUGAGUGCUAGGUGUUAGGGGUGACCAAACCCUUAGUGCCGCAGUUAACACAUUAAGCACUCCGCCUGGGGAGUACGACCGCAAGGUUGAAACUCAAAGGAAUUGACGGGGGCCCGCACAAGCAGUGGAGCAUGUGGUUUAAUUCGAAGCAACGCGAAAAACCUUACCAGGACUUGCCAUCCCU